UCGAGCGGAUGAAGGGGGCUUGCUCCUGGAUUCAGCGGCGGACGGGUGAGUAAUGCCUAGGAAUCUGCCUGGUAGUGGGGGAUAACGUCCGGAAACGGGCGCUAAUACCGCAUACGUCCUGAGGGAGAAAGUGGGGGAUCUUCGGACCUCACGCUAUCAGAUGAGCCUAGGUCGGAUUAGCUAGUUGGUGGGGUAAAGGCCUACCAAGGCGACGAUCCGUAACUGGUCUGAGAGGAUGAUCAGUCACACUGGAACUGAGACACGGUCCAGACUCCUACGGGAGGCAGCAGUGGGGAAUAUUGGACAAUGGGCGAAAGCCUGAUCCAGCCAUGCCGCGUGUGUGAAGAAGGUCUUCGGAUUGUAAAGCACUUUAAGUUGGGAGGAAGGGCAGUAAGUUAAUACCUUGCUGUUUUGACGUUNCCAACAGAAUAAGCACCGGCUAACUUCGUGCCAGCAGCCGCGGUAAUACGAAGGGUGCAA
rnacentral:rRNA from 1 species